rnacentral:rRNA from 1 species
AUUGAACGCUGGCGGCAGGCCUAACACAUGCAAGUCGAGCGAGCGGCGGACGGGUGAGUAAUGUCUGGGAAACUGCCUGAUGGAGGGGGAUAACUACUGGAAACGGUAGCUAAUACCGCAUACCAUCAGAUGUGCCCAGAUGGGAUGAGCUGGUAGGUGGGGUAACGGCGCACCAAGGCGACGAUCCCUAGCUGGUCUGAGAGGAUGACCAGCCACACUGGACCUGAGCCACGGGCCAUACUCCUACGGAAGGCACCAGUGGGGAAUAUUGCACAAUGGGCGCAAGCCUGAUGCAGCCAUGCCGCGUGUGUGAAGAAGGCCUUCGGGUUGUAAAGCACUUUCAGCGGGGAGGCGUUACCCGAAGAAGAAGCACCGGCUAACUCCGUGCCAGCAGCCGCGGUAAUAC